UACAGAGGUCCCGAGCGUUGUUCGGAUUUAUUGGGCGUAAAGGGCGCGUAGGCGGCAUGGGCAAGUGGAUGGGUGAAAUCCCUCGGCUUAACCGAGGAACUGCCGUCCAAAACUGCUUCGCUUUGAGACCGGGGAGAGGUGAGUGGAAAUUUCCCCAGUGUAGCGGUGAAAAUGCGUAGAUAUUUGGGGAGGAACACCCAGUGGCGAAGGCGGCUCACUGGACCGGUACUGACGCUGAUGCGCGAAAAGCGUGGGGGAGCAAAACGGGG
rnacentral:rRNA from 1 species